AUGAACGCUGGCGGCGUGCCUAAUACAUGCAAGUCGAGCGAACAGACGAGGAGCUUGCUCCUCUGACGUUAGCGGCGGACGGGUGAGUAACACGUGGAUAACCUACCUAUAAGACUGGGAUAACUUCAGGAAACCGGAGCUAAUACCGGAUAAUAUAUUGAACCGCAUGGUUCAAUAGUGAAAGACGGUUUUGCUGUCACUUAUAGAUGGAUCCGCGCCGCAUUAGCUAGUUGGUAAGGUAACGGCUUACCAAGGCGACGAUGCGUAGCCGACCUGAGAGGGUGAUCGGCCACACUGGAACUGAGACACGGUCCAGACUCCUACGGGAGGCAGCAGUAGGGAAUCUUCCGCAAUGGGCGAAAGCUUGACGGAGCAACGCCGCGUGAGUGAUGAAGGUCUUCGGAUCGUAAAACUCUGUUAUUAGGGAAGAACAAAUGUGUAAGUAACUAUGCACGUCUUGACGGUACCUAAUCAGAAAGCCACGGCUAACUACGUG
rnacentral:rRNA from 1 species